UACGUAGGGGGCAAGCGUUGUCCGGAUUUAUUGGGCGUAAAGAGCGUGUAGGCGGCCGUACAGGUCAGCUGUGAAAACUCGAGGCUCAACCUCGAGACGUCGGUUGAAACCGUACGGCUAGAGUCCGGAAGAGGAGAGUGGAAUUCCCGGUGUAGCGGUGAAAUGCGCAGAUAUCGGGAAGAACACCCGUGGCGAAGGCGGCUCUCUGGGACGGUACUGACGCUGAGACGCGAAAGCGCGGGGAGCGAACAGG
rnacentral:rRNA from 1 species